CUCUGCUCAGACCUGCACCCAGUCAGAGCAGCACAGAUGUGCAGGAGGAGACCAUUUCCACGGGCCCUCCGACUCCUAGGAGGCAGGUGCAUCCGCUGCAUGGCUGCUGGCCUGUUGCCCGACAAAAUGCCCAGCAUUGAACCAGAUGCAUAGACGUGAACCCUGGAGAAUCCUGUUUUCAGUGGCUGGAAGAGGGAGGUGUAGGCACCAGCUCAAACUCUUCACCUCCCGCCUUCUAUCCUGCAGACCCCGGCGGGCCACAUGGUGACCUUCUAUGUCCAUCUGGGACAGCAGUCAGCUGCCCCUGCCUCUGUGGGGAGUGAGCAAUGGGCCGCAGGAUCACUUGUCCUGGGCGGCUCUUCUGGGGGUAGCUUUGCCUUGCCGCUGGGUUUUGGGAGUCCGGGGCCUGUGGUCUCCUGGGGGCUGCGUGCAGUGUCUUCCCCAGAACCAGAUGGGGAAGGGAGCCGCAGGGAAAGAACGUGACCUUUGGGCUCAAUCCUGGUAUUGAAGCCCUGUUCGUUCUUUUACAUUUUCUUAACAUGCAGCAUUGGGUAAAUGCCUUCUGAGUUUGGUUAGUGCUUGUUAAAUUGGGCGAGAACUUCAUAAGGUUGCAGGAAGUAUUCCGAGAAAUGGUACACGCACAGUACUUAGUGUGGUCACCGCACAUGGCCAGCAUAUACCAAACUGGUCCGAAUUGACUAGAAUGGGGAGGGUGGGAAGUGACAAUCUCUACGUUCUUUUUAAUCUGAGGUGUCUGAUGCUACUUGCUGGGCUUCUGGCCUGUGAUGAGUGCUCCCACUCCCUGCUGCCCUGAGACCUGUGUGGCUUUCAGGGUAUUCUUUUUUCUCAGUGCCUUUGUGUGGAGAGCCGCUGUCUCCCUCCAUUCUGUGGGUGAUACAGGUGGCGCUGCUGUGAGCUGCCUCUGGAGGUCAUGGACAGGCUGUUAAGGAUGGGGCCUGCCAUACCAGAGCUCCCGCCGCCCUGGGGAAGCGAUGUGGGCAGUAGCUCAGAAUGCAGCUCCUCCCCAGAGCCUCGGCCACCGGGGACUUGCAGGAGAAAGAACAGGGACGGGGAAGACUGGAUGGUCCUGAAAGCUGAGAGGGGCCACAGAAGCCCAGAUGACACAGGACUAUGGGAGACAAGUGAGGGCACCAGCUUCCCUGGGUUGAGGGACCGUGAUACCCAGGAGGGCAGAGAGGGAGACAGGGCCCGGCUGGCAACCUCUGAGCAGGUGAGCGGGAGAGAGAGCAGGACAGAGAAGGCAGCUCUGUGUUCUGCUCUGAUCCGUCUGACUCCACACGGAUGUGGAGUUCUCUGAGACUCCUUUCCCUGAAUCUGAGAGCUUACUAACAGAAGGCCGGGCCUCUGAGAUAGAGAUCAGGCAUGUAAUGAAUGAAUGUGAAUCAUGAAUACAGCUGGAGCACCCCUCAUCAGGGUAGCCCACACCUUACAACUGUGGACACAGAGGCCUUGUUGCUUCCCCAAAAGUCUAGUUAAUGACUAGUUAAUGGCUAGUUAAUAUCUAAUUAAUGACCAGUUAACGACAAUGCUCCUAACUCCAUCAUCCCACCCCCUUUCCCCAAAUUCAGCACAAAUGGCUUCAGUUUGAGUUUCCCAAAGCAUCUCCUAAGGUGUGUGGUUACAGCCCAGCCCUAGGGUCUCUGGGUGCAUCGGCCUCCCCCUCCCAGAUCCAAGUACAGCUGAAACCCUGACAAUAGAAAUCAUCAUUGCUGGCCCAGCGCUGCCACCACUGCUCCUGUUCGUAGCCUGUUUUGUUUGUUUUUAGUCCCUUAGGCACUGGCCCUAACAACAAAUGAGGAGAAGCCAAGCUCUCUGCUUUCUGCAGACAGGGCCUCCCCUGGAUGGGGUCUUCCCCUAAGGUGAGCUUCAGAUCUGCUCAAGCUUCCUGCAGUGGGGCCAGGAGGCAGGGCCUGGGCAGGGGAGACCAGAACCUCUCGGUGAUGCCUCCGAAUGGCAGGGCUCAGACACACACACCGGGCUGGGUAAGUCCCUGCAGUGAAAACCGAGACGGUCUUUUGCCUGCCACAGCCCCGGGCCGACUCUGCUCUCACCGUGGUGCCGACAUCCCAAGUUUUCAGACUCACCAGGACCCAGUGACAGCAUCUGGGUCCUCAGAGCUGCAUGCGGACUGUCCCCAGUUCAGAGCAUUGGACAGAGCUGGGAACUGACAGCCCUGAUCACUAGUCCCAAGAGAAAGGCCAGCCCUCCUCCUCCUCGGAAUCCUGGGUUUCUAGGAGGCAGAAAGGUUUUCUGAGAAACAAGGCUUUGGAAGGAAGGUGGUGCCUGGCUGCAUCCAGAAAGGGAGAGCUAAAUGGAGAGGCUGAACAAAGGACGCAUGUGGAACGCAUGGGGAGGGGAGGCUGGGGCGCAGGGCUCCGGGUCUGCUCUUCUGCGUCCACCCCGGAUCCUGCUUUUGUCCAGAUGGGCCUCGGAGCAGCAGUCACUUACUCCAAGAAGUCAUUUCCUGUGGCCAAUAAUGAAGAUGACGUACUCGGAAGCUUGUGGGCUCUGAGGAGGGGGUAAGGAUGCAGGGGCCAUGCAUUCAUCCCAGCACAGGCAGCACGUGGCUCCGGAAGCAGACACAGGCCAGGCCUGGGCCAGGAGUCUGCCAGGAGCCAGGAGCGCCUACACCUCCCUGGAGGCCCACACUUCUCUCCCCAGAAGCUCACAGGCAGUGUCUGAGGUGCAGGGCCCAGGUGUGCUGGAGUGACAAAGCCCCGAGCUGUGGUGAUGGGAGGGAGGAAGCGCCGGUUUAUGUCUGUUCUUUGGGCUGAUUUGCUGUCUCUGUCUUUGUCUCUAAUGUCCUUUGCACCACUGACCUUGAGGAGCUUUUUGUUCCUCCUGUCCCAGUUUGGUUUCCAUGGGAACCUGAGUGGCAGUGUCAUCACUUUGCUGAGGUUUCAGAUCUCUUAGUUUUGGGUGCCCAAGUUCACGGAGGGUGCCGGGGAAUAGAAGCUCUGUCAGUCUCGUCUGGAUCUUGGUCCUCAGCAACUGUCUGGAUCCUGACAGGCCUUUCCUUCCUGGAGCCACAGUGCUUAGAGACAGGCCACUGGGGUCAGCAUUUGAGCUCAGCUACGAUCAGAAAAAAGCACCGUUGAGGUUGCAGUGAGCCGAG